rnacentral:rRNA from 1 species
AACGUAGGAGACAAACGUUAUCCGGAGUUACUGGGCGUAAAGGGCGUGUAGGCGGUCUGUUAAGUCUGGCGUGAAAGCUCUCGGCUAAACCGGGAGAGGUCGUUGGAUACUGGCAAGACUAGAGGAUGGUAGAGGCGUGUGGAAUUCCGGGUGUAGUGGUGAAAUGCGUAGAGAUCUGGAGGAACACCAGUGGCGAAGGCGACACGCUGGGCCAUACCUGACGCUAAAGCGCGACAGCAUGGGGAGCAAACGGG